GCUGGCGUAGCUCAAGGGUAGAGCAACUGAUUUGUAAUCAGUAGGUUGGGGGUUCGAUUCCCUUCGCCAGCU
rnacentral:tRNA from 2 species